rnacentral:rRNA from 1 species
GAUGAACGCUGGCGGCGUGCCUAAUACAUGCAAGUCGAGCGAACAGAUGAGGAGCUUGCUCCUCUGACGUUAGCGGCGGACGGGUGAGUAACACGUGGAUAACCUACCUAUAAGACUGGGAUAACUUCGGGAAACCGGAGCUAAUACCGGAUAAUAUAUUGAACCGCAUGGUUCAAUAGUGAAAGACGGUUUUGCUGUCACUUAUAGAUGGAUCCGCGCCGCAUUAGCUAGUUGGUAAGGUAACGGCUUACCAAGGCAACGAUGCGUAGCCGACCUGAGAGGGUGAUCGGCCACACUGGAACUGAGACACGGUCCAGACUCCUACGGGAGGCAGCAGUAGGGAAUCUUCCUCAAUGUGCGAAAGCCUGACGGAGCAACGCCGCGUGAGUGAAGAAGGUCUUCGGAUCGUAAAACUCUGUUAUUAGGGAAGAACAAAUGUGUAAGUAACUAUGCACGUCUUGACGGUACCUAAUCAGAAAGCCACGGCUAACUACGUG